rnacentral:rRNA from 1 species
GACGGGGGAUGCAAGCGUUAUCCGGAAUGAUUGGGCGUAAAGGGUCCGCAGGUGGCCCGGUCAGUCCGCUGUCAAAGCCUGGGGGCUCAACCCUGGAGAGGCGGCGGAGACCACCGGGCUUGAGUCCGGUAGGGGAGCGUGGAAUUCCUGGUGUAGCGGUGAAAUGCGCAGAUAUCAGGAGGAACACCAGCGGCGAAGGCGGCGCUCUGGGCCGGAACUGACGCUGAGGAGCGAAAGCGUGGGUAGCAAACAGG